rnacentral:lncRNA from 1 species
UGAUCAGCUUCCUAACUCUUCAAAGCAAAUAUUUUGGGGAAAUGGUGUAUGAAAGCAUUCCACACAGAGCUUUAGAAAAUUUAGAAUUCCUCCAAAUUUCUAACUUACAUCCUUUUCUCUCCUAUUCAACAACAGAUCAAGGAUAUCCUGAAAGGUUCAUUGCGUUUCAACCAGAGCCAGCUGGAAGCUGAAGAAAACGAGCAAAUCACUAUAGCCGAUGAUCAUUACUGUUCCAACAGUCAGAACAAGGGGACAGGUGAUGUCCUAAAAGGACCUGUUAUGACAAAGCAACAGUUCGUCUCAGGACGACAGACUACGACUGAUUCGAGCACCAGUGAGAACAAGAGUGCUGAUGACUAUAUUAUGGUUUCCAAAGAAGAGGAAGGAAGUAGAAGUGCUGUCCCGGAGCCAGCGCAGUCACUUCAGGCACACAAGGAGGCACCAGCGAAGCCAGAAGCUCCGUCUCGUUCAGCUUUGAUAUUCUCUGACCCACUGAUGGGCUCCAUUUCACCCUCCUCCAGCAACCUGAGCUCCAGCCCUGACGACGACAGUAGUAAUAACAGCAAAGAUUCUGACUUUGCUAUUGUCAGCCCACUGGACAUCUAAAGAAACAGCUUGGGAGAGUUUGGGAGGUCGAUCAUUACAACUCAGCUCAAAUUCCUAUGAUUCACGGGCUGGAUAGUUCUUUGGAUUAGAAGGACAGAAAACAGAUAAAGGUAACCCAUUUCUGCUGCAAAAAGCCUAAAUUAAAAAAAAAAAAAAAAAAGCCAAAACCCACAAAUUUGCAACUUCUCAAAAAGAAUAGUCACCUUUUAAUAACUGCCUUAAAUAAAGACCCAGUAAAACCCAGUUCUAAUAUACAGUUACUCUUAAUUAUAUGCUUAUCUUACUUAGGAGCUUUGUUACUAUAGAACAGUUGCUUUCCCAAAACAUAGAAUAGUAUGUGCUAGGUACCAUAAUGGAUUAGGAAAUGUGUAGAUACUUGGCAUCAGACCUGAAGCAGCAAAGACAGGCUAGAUUUAAUAUUGUCCUUUUACAAAACAUGCUCGACUGGGUUUUCUGAGUAGGAGAGGGUACUGUUUCUUCAGAGACUGUGAUUAGAGAAGUAGAGAAUGUAUAUCAGAAAGAUUAAAAGCAUCAUCCUGGCAGUAAGCUUGUUCUCAGUUGAGGAAUCCUAGUUUCUUCAUUUUCAUCCGGCAGUAGCCUGAGGUGUGUUCAAGGCAGAGGUUUGUGUAGUUGUUCCUCAGCGCUGUCUUACAGGAGAAUGUCUGACAAAUUCCUUGAGAACGGGGACCUAUAUAACAAAGCCUUAUUUCCCUUUGCCUACUUUUUUUCCCCUUGAGAGUUUCCAGUUCACCUCUUUCCCUCUCUAUAUCUGUCUACUUUUACUCCUUCUGGCAUGAAUUAUUUUUUAUUUUACUGAGACUACCAUGGUUAAAACAGUAGGUGCAAGGGAAAUUACAGUAUUUCAUAGUGUAGACGUGAGCCAGCUGAACUAAAACUAGCUUGAGAUAACUUACCAGGGAAGGGUGCAAAGUGAAAUGAAAUGUCCGUAAUUAAAAGCACUUUAUGUCUCAUUACUAUUCUCUUCUAUAGACUCUGUUUACAUAUAUUCCUAUGCGAUUUCCAGAUUUCUAGUCAAGAAAAACAUAAUGGUGCAGCAGCGUUAACCAACAGAAAGUUUCUAAUUAACUCUAGAACUUGUUAUUCUAUGGAAAAGUGUCUUUCUUUCCCAUCAAGUACAUAGUACAUCUAAUAACAGUUUUUUCAAGUAGAUAAGGGGGGAGUGGUUUGUACUCUCUGAUCCCUUUAAACUCUGUUGGAAUUCACAAAGGGAGACCGGUGGUGAGUGGACACCUCCUCUUGCAGGACCUACACAGAGCUAGCUUGAGGAAGGAAUGCUAGAAAGUCACUCCAUAACAGCAGCAAAAAAAAAUUGCAUUAUUUACUUUUUAGACACAUAUACAUUAUACUAUGCCACAACUUCAUAAUUGCAUGGCAAAGCUUGUGUUUGUAUGGAGUUAAGAAAUGGUAGUUAUUUGCUGCUUAGUCUGUAAUUGUAAAUGGAGUUAAGUACCAUAUUCCAAAGAUGAGGAGACAUGUAGUUUGUUGGUCUUAGAUUUUACAAGGUCUGUGUCAGUUGCUGAACUGAAGAGAUCAUUGUCAUGUAAUUACAUGGUAGCUGCCAUAUCCUUAUAUGUUCAAAAGCCGCCAAGUAGUUCUGAGAUUAUUUGUGCCUUGUAAAAUGAUAAAAUACUAGAAUGUUAUGAGCAGGCAUAGCAUCAUACUUCUCUGCGACAGAGUGAUAUUAACAGUCAGAUGACUGUUUAGAUGAAAGAUCUUAAAUGCAUAACAUUUCAGAGAGAUGUUUAUUUUGGUUUAAUUUUAAGCUUCAUAGAAAAUCACUUUGGAAUUCAGCAUGCAUGCCUGUCUUCAGGUUUAUUUUAUUUCCCUGACUUUGCAUGAUUGCCAGGGGAUUAGGUGGCUGUUGAUUUAUUUAGGUCUUUCAAGCUUUUCUAGCCUUAACUCAUUCAGCAAGGCUUGUGCCACACCACCCACAAAGGGGAAUCUGUUCAAGAAGUACCUAUGGAAAGAGGAAAGAAAUAUUCUGGGGACAGAGAGAAAAGUUUUAUAUUCUGUGAUACAUAAACCUUCAAAGAUUCCAGUACUUUGGCAGGGGAAAAUAUUUUUACUUCUUUUUUAUUUUUUUUAAGCAUCAGUCUUUUGAUUUCUGUUCUGAUUGUUUGUUUCAGGGAUCACAUUACUAUUUUCUUGAACAGUCUCGUUGCCAAUGGGAGAGUGUGAUUUGUACAGUUCUUUUAUUUUUGUAAGUUAGUUGUAUCUCUAAUAUUGCAUAUUUUAAAACAGCACUAAAAGUAUAUAAAGAUUUGGGGAGUUUCUAACAAGUUUUCACAAAUCAGUGAAUACUGAUGAGCUGAAUGCCUAUCAUGCCGUGGGAUAUGAUAAACGUCUUCAG